CCACUAUCCCUGAAAUUGUUUACUUGGUCAGUGAAUUUUGGUCAAGGAAUUCAGUGAGGGUGUUGGGGUUUUGAAGAAGAAGGAUGAAAAGUCAAUCAUCGUACUUAGUCCAUAUAAUAAUUACAGAAAAUUAGGGAUCUAGAAGUUUUCAACUACCAUUGCAGUUACACCCAUUGCCAAUUUUGCUAUAUUUCUGUGCACUUUCUUGGGAUUAAUGAUUUUGUUCUGUGCAGGAAUAUAUCAAAACUAAUGAUGGGUAGGAGGUAAAAUGAGAAUGGUAGAUUCUUACAGUUUUGUUGUCUUUCUCCAGAGAUGAAAUUGUCAACUUAUGUAAAAGGAUGAAGAACUAGGUACUUUUGCAUAAGAUUCAAAAUAUAAAUGAGGGAUAUAUCUCUCCUCUCUCUUUCCUUUAUAGAUAUUAUGUUUAAUGUACUGAGAAUGCAGUGAACAAUGAAAAGCAAUAAGCCAAGAUAUCAUCUACACAGCUUCCUAACAAUACAAUUAAUAUACUGAUUUUAAAAAAGCACGUUGAAUUUUAUUCUGGGGGUAUUUUUCUUAAUUUUCGUCAUAAAGUCAGGAAAAUAAAAAAAUUCAGCUUUACUGAGGUAUAAUUGACAAAUAAAAUUGGAAGACAUUUAAGAUAUACAACAUUAUGACUUGAUAUACAUAUCGAUUGUGCAAGUAUUCCCCCCACUAGGCUAAUUGACACGUCUAUUACCUCACAUAGUUACCCUCCUCUGUUUUUUGUUUGUUUGUUUGUUUUUGUUUUUUUGUGAGAACAUUUAAGUCCUACUCUCAGCAAAUUUCAAUUAUGCAGCACAGUGUUAUCAGCUAUAGUCACCAUGUAAUACAGUCUGCAUUCUAUCCUCAGAACUUAAUCAUCAUUUUUGUUUUAAAUAUACUGUUAUUGAUUUCAGAGAGGAAGGGAGAGGGAGAGACAGAAACAUCAAUGAUGAGAGAGGGUCACUGAUUGGCUACCUUCUAAAUGCCCCCCUCAGGGGAUCAAGCCCACAAUCCGGGCAUGUGCCCCCAACACGAAUCGAACCUGGGAUCCUUCAGUCUGCCGCCUGAUACUCUAUCCACUGAGCCAAAUUGUCUAGGUCCUUUAUCCAUAUUUUAACUGAAAGUUUGUCCCUUUUACAAAACUCCCCUUACUGUCCUCUUUCACCCCUAGCCCCUGGCAACCACUUCUACUCUAUUUCUAUAAGUUUGACUUUGUUUCAUUUUUAGAUUUUUCCCAUAAAAGUGACACCAUACAAUAUUUGUCUUUCUCUGUCUGGCUUAUUUGACUUAGCAUAAUGCCUCCCAGGUUUCUUCAAGUUGUUGGAAAUAACAGGCUUUCCUUUUUUAAGGCUGAAUAAUAUUUCACUGUAUGUAUAUCACACUUUCUUUAUCCUUUCCUUCAUUGCCAGAUGCAGGUUCUUUCUAUAAAUUGGUUGUCAAUAAUGCUGCAAUGAACAUGGGACUACACACAUCUCUUUAAUACUUUCUUUUCCUUCGAAUAUACAUGUGGAGUGGGAUUGUUGGAUCAUAUAGUAGUUCUAUUAUUAAUUUCUUGAAGAACCUCUAUACUGUUUCCCAUAGUGGCUAUACCAGUUUACAUUCCCUAAAAAAGUGUACAAGGGUUCCCUUUUCUCCACGUCCUCACCAUCAUUUAUUUCCUGUCUCUUUGGUAGUAAUCAUCCUAAUAGAUGUGAGGUGAUAACUCAUUGUGGUUUUGAUUUGCAUUUCCUUGAUGAUUAGUGAUGUUGAGCACCUUUUCAUGUACCUACUAGCCAUUUGUAUCUUCUUUGAAAAAAAUGUCUAUUCAAGUCCUUUUCCGAUUUUAAAUUUGGGUUAUUUGUCUUUGGGUUUCUUUUGCUAUUAAUUGUAUGGGCUCCUUGUAUUUUGGAUAUUAACCCCUUAUCAGAUAAUGUGGUUUGCAAAUAUUUUCCCCAAAUACGUAGGUUGCCUUUCCAUGUUAUUGAUAGUUUCUUUUGCUGAGCAUAAUUUUUUUAGUUUGAUAUAGUUCUACCUGUGGGUUUGUUUGUUUCAUCUGAUUUAGUUGCCUUUUCUUUUGUGUCCCCCGCCUCCCCCCCCCCCCGCCCCCCCCCCCCCAAAAAAAAUCAUUGCCAUGUCAAGGAGAUUACCCUCUAUGCUUUGCUUUCUUCUAGGAGUUUUAUGGUAUCAGAUCAUACGUGCAAGUCUUUAAUCCAUUUUGAGUUGAUUUUUCUAUACAGUGUAAGAUAAGGUCUAGUUUCAUUCUUUUGCCUUUGAAAAUCCAGUGCUUUCCCAACACAGUUUAUCGGAUGGAAGCCACGUGACCCAGGGCCCUGUCCCGAAUGCAGCAGGUAUAGCGCUGGGGCACAGAUGGAUGCUUAGCUCCCUCCAGGAAGAUACCAGUGACUUGGAGCAACUCCAGGGUAAAGGCAGGGGAGGCGUCUUCUCCAAAUUUGAAAUACCUGUCCUUUUGGGAUGCUGUGAAGGAGAAAACUAACAUGCCCGUGAUUGGAGGUGAAGAUUUUCAGCAGAAUUCAGAGGGUGAAAUAAAUACCCCUGAUGUCACUGGUGAAGCAGGCCCUUCUUUAGUAGAAAAUGGUAUUUCCAUCCUUUCUUGCCCACUUUACUCUCAGGAGCCCUUGGGUGGUUCCAUGAUAAAGGGGACAGGACCAUUCAUAUCUUUCUGGCUUUGCUUUUAUUUAGGAACAAGCAGUUCUUAAUUUAAAUCUUUCAAAACCAUUACUUCUCUUGAUUACUGUCACCUUCUUUAUACCUUUAUGUGUCAUCAUCUCUGUCAGGCAACUUUAGAUACAAUCUAUGGAAAACAGGAGGAAGGAAAAGACGGGAAGAUCAUUUAGAACACAAUAGGCCACUAUUCUAUUUUUUUUCUAAAAGAAAAGAGUAACAUAAAGCAAAAAUAUUUUUCAUUUUGAAAUAUGUAUCAAUAGCUGGUAAACUCUAUAAAAAUAAACUCUUUAUUUUUACUCUAGAUUCUGCAGUAACUUUUAAUUCUGGAGACUUAAACAGGAACAUCAGAUUUUAAAAUUAAGUGCUUAAAAAAUAUCAAGUCAGUAAUAGAUGUGCCUUGUAUUCACAUUCCUGCCAGAGAAACCCAAGGUGCCAUGAAUUGGAAGAAAACUUGUGGCUAAAUUGUACUUUUUUCUUCUAGCUGUGGUAUAAAGAUGAAAUUUAGGAAACACAUCUUUCUCUCUAUUGUCAUUUUUGUGUAUUCUUUCUACUUUGCCCCCUCACUUAGCUAAUUCUUUUUGUAAUUUGAGGAUACACUGGCUCAGAUCUUACCCAUAGUUGAAAAGCUAGUUAUAUAUUCUGCUCUUUGGAUGUUGAGAGCAUGAAAUUCUUGGUAUUAAAUUGGUAAAUUAAUUCUUUGCAACCUGUGGUUAGGAUCAUAACCAAAAGGAUUAUCUUGCUUUGGGAGGAAGAGUUUUUAUAAGAAGAAUCUUGAAUUGCUAUUGUAUGAACCCUGGAAGAAACAGUAUUUCAUAUCUACAAAAAUAAAGUGAGAUUUACUAUAUAGAUACAGUUUUAAUAUUCUUGAAAGUGGAAGUGCCUUCUCUGUUAUAUGUCGAAAUACACUAAAAAUAAAAAGAAACAAAUAUAAUGAGACCU